CCCUUAGAUGUCCUGGGCUGCACGCGCGCUACACUGAUGUGUCCAGUAAGCACCUAACCUCUUCCGAAGGGAACGGGUAACCUUAGCAAAGCACAUCGUGAUGGGGAUAGAUUAUUGCAAUUAUUAGUCUUGAACGAGGAAUUCCUAGUAAGCACAAGUCAUCAGCUUGUGUUGAUUACGUCCCUGCCCUUUGUACACACCGCCCGUCGCACCUACCGAUUGAAUGGUCCGGUGAAAUCUUCGGAUUGAGACUUUGAUUUCUUCACGGAAAACGCUGUUUUAAAAAGUUGAUUAAACCUUACCAUUUAGAGGAAGGUGAAGUCGUAACA
rnacentral:rRNA from 1 species